rnacentral:SRP_RNA from 1 species
GCCGGGCAUGGUGGCCCAUGCCUGUAAUCCUAGCACUUUGGGAGGCCGAGGCGGGAGAAUUAUCUGAGGUCAGGAGUUCAAGACCAGCCUGGCCAACAUGGUGAAACCCCGUCUCUA